rnacentral:misc_RNA from 1 species
GAUGAAGAACGCAGCGAAAUGCGAUAAGUAAUGCGAAUUGCAGAAUUCCAGUGAGUCAUCGAAUCUUUGAACGCACAUUGCGCCCUUUGGUAUUCCGAAGGGCAUGCCUGUUCGAGCGUCAUUAUCACCCCUCAAGCCCUCGGCUUGGUGUUGGACGGUUUGGUGGAGGCCCCCUCGGGGGCUCCUGCCCCUCCCAAAGACAAUGACGGCGGCCUCGUUGGACCCCCGGUACACUGAGUUCUUCACGGGACACGUAUCGGACACAUGGGUUUACGGGACACGGUCUGCCUCCCCUCAGGGAGAAUCUUUCUCAGGUUGACCUCGGAUCAGGUAGGGAUACCCGCUGAACUUAAGCAUAUCAAUAAGCGGAGGA